CCUACGGGUGGCUGCAGUGGGGAAUAUUGGACAAUGGGGGAAACCCUGAUCCAGCAAUGCCGCGUGAGUGAUGAAGGCCUUCGGGUUGUAAAGCUCUUUUACCUGUGACGAUAAUGACGGUAACAGGAGAAUAAGCCCCGGCUAACUUCGUGCCAGCAGCCGCGGUAAUACGAAGGGGGCUAGCGUUGUUCGGAAUUACUGGGCGUAAAGGGCGCGUAGGCGGCUUUUUGCGUGAGAUGUGAAAGACCUGGGCUCAACCUGGGAAGUGCAUUUCA
rnacentral:rRNA from 1 species